CACCAUCCUAAAGUCCACAAAAAUUUGCACUUACGUCCCUUCUUCCUCAUUGAAGUAUACCAGCAGUCUACCACUACCACCUCUUCUAAAUUUCUUACCAGUACCAUUAUUCGGUCACUCAAAUUCUUUUCCGGAACACCAAGUGGAUUUGCAAUCCGAGGACCUUGCUCACAGGAUUGGUUAAUGAAGUUCUAGUCUUUUGCUUCACAGAGUGUACCAGAGAGGAAAAGGUGAUUGAGAGGGCUUACAAGAAGCUUGAACUUGAUUCUUUAGUGAUCUAAGGACGACGACUAGCUGAGUAAAAAAAAGAUCACUCCAAAUGUGCUUUCGUAAGCCGCUGCCAUAUCAGGUGUUUCAAGUGUAUCCUAUAAGUCAACGGAAGUUGAAGGAACUUCGUUGUCACACACUAUCACAAGUAUUCGGUGGAGCCGUUCUUGGAAUUUCGGUAGCUUUCUUUUGUUGCCAAGGUUGCUUGACAUACACAUAAGUUGCCAAUGUACUGAAGAGCUGGAACUGUAGAUGCGACCGUUCCUCGACGAGAGCUUUUCAGUUUUCCACCUUUUCCUGUGUAAUGCUUGUGAAACUUCUUUGCUAUUUAAUCAAUUCAUGCAUUAAAAAUCUCAUUUACUUGUGAUUCUAUCUGUAUUUUAACUAUUUCUCGAGGUUGUAAAGAGAGCUAGAGAAAAUACACUUAAACUAAAUUUCUAUGUUUAAUAUUAAAUUUAAGAAACCUAGGG